rnacentral:rRNA from 1 species
UGGCGAACGGGUGAGUAACACGUGGGUGAUCUGCCCUGCACUCUGGGAUAAGCCUGGGAAACUGGGUCUAAUACCGGAUAGGACCAUGCUUUAGUGUGUGUGGUGGAAAGCUUUUUCGGUGUAGGAUGAGCCCGCGGCCUAUCAGCUUGUUGGUGGGGUAAUGGCCUACCAAGGCGGCGACGGGUAGCCGGACUGAGAGGUUGGUCGGCCACAUUGGGACUGAGAUACGGCCCAG